UGGCCAAUUUAUAAAUGCAACAAAAAUUGGCACAGUGGAAUUGUUCACUAAUUCUGAAGCGAGAGUUAUUUUGAAAAAUGUUUUGUUUUGUUCAGAUGUUCCACACAAUCUCUUGUCAGUAAAGAAAAUGCAGGAUGCUGGAUUAACAAUCUUGUUUCAUCCAGGAGGUGUCUCUAUUAGUAAAGCUGAUGAAAUUUUAAUAAAUGAUAAACAACUAGCGGAUAUGCUAACAAAACCGAUACCAGCGCCACGGUUUUGUGAAUUGCGAAACCAAAUGAGUUUGAUGGAUUAAUCAAAUGAAGGAGAAAAGGAUCUCAUGGAUAUGGACUGAACCAAAAUAAUUU